rnacentral:rRNA from 1 species
GAUGAACGCUGGCGGCGUGCCUAAUACAUGCAAGUCGAGCGAACGGACGAGAAGCUUGCUUCUCUGAUGUUAGCGGCGGACGGGUGAGUAACACGUGGAUAACCUACCUAUAAGACUGGGAUAACUUCGGGAAACCGGAGCUAAUACCGGAUGAUAUUUUGAACCGCAUGGUUCAAAAGUGAAAGACGGUCUUGCUGUCACUUAUAGAUGGAUCCGCGCUGCAUUAGCUAGUUGGUAAGGUAACGGCUUACCAAGGCAACGAUGCAUAGCCGACCUGAGAGGGUGAUCGGCCACACUGGAACUGAGACACGGUCCAGACUCCUACGGGAGGCAGCAGUAGGGAAUCUUCCGCAAUGGGCGAAAGCCUGACGGAGCAACGCCGCGUGAGUGAUGAAGGUCUUCGGAUCGUAAAACUCUGUUAUUAGGGAAGAACAUAUGUGUAAGUAACUGUGCACAUCUUGACGGUACCUAAUCAGAAAGCCACGGCUAACUACGUGCCAGCAGCCGCGGUAAUACGUAGGUGGCAAGCGUUAUCCGGAAUUAUUGGGCGUAAAGCGCGCGUAGGCGGUUUUUUAAGUCUGAUGCGAAAGCCCACGGCUCAACCGUGGAGGGUCAUUGGAAACUGGAAAACUUGAGUGCAGAAGAGGAAAGUGGAAUUCCAUGUGUAGCGGUGAAAUGCGCAGAGAUAUGGAGGAACACCAGUGGCGAAGGCGACUUUCUGGUCUGUAACUGACGCUGAUGUGCGAAAGCGUGGGGAUCAAACAGGAUUAGAUACCCUGGUAGUCCACGCCGUAAACGAUGAGUGCUAAGUGUUAGGGGGUUUCCGCCCCUUAGUGCUGCAGCUAACGCAUUAAGCACUCCGCCUGGGGAGUACGACCGCAAGGUUGAAACUCAAAGGAAUUGACGGGGACCCGCACAAGCGGUGGAGCAUGUGGUUUAAUUCGAAGCAACGCGAAGAACCUUACCAAAUCUUGACAUCCUUUGACAACUCUAGAGAUAGAGCCUUCCCCUUCGGGGGACAAAGUGACAGGUGGUGCAUGGUUGUCGUCAGCUCGUGUCGUGGGAUGUUGGGUUAAGUCCCGCAACGAGCGCAACCCUUAAGCUUAGUUGCCAUCAUUAAGUUGGGCACUCUAAGUUGACUGCCGGUGACAAACCGGAGGAAGGUGGGGAUGACGUCAAAUCAUCAUGCCCCUUAUGAUUUGGGCUACACACGUGCUACAAUGGACAAUACAAAGGGCAGCGAAACCGCGAGGUCAAGCAAAUCCCAUAAAGUUGUUCUCAGUUCGGAUUGUAGUCUGCAACUCGACUACAUGAAGCUGGAAUCGCUAGUAAUCGUAGAUCAGCAUGCUACGGUGAAUACGUUCCCGGGUCU